CAAGCACCUAGGUCUUGGUAUGAUAGAUUAAGUAAGUAUUUACUAAACAAUGAUUUUAAAAAAGGCAAUGUAGAUAAAAUAUUAUUCAUAAAAAGAAGAUCAGAUGAUUUAUUGAUUGUGUAAUUAUAUGUUGAUGAUAUUGUAUUCAGUGCUACUAUGAAGUCUUGUGUAGAGAUUUUGCUAGACUUAUGUAGGGUGAGUACGAGAUGAGC
rnacentral:lncRNA from 1 species